UUUAUCUAAGCUAGUAGCUGACCAAGCUGAUAUAAACAUGGUCUCUUGGUUGCUUCUGGAUUUGGAUACAUUUGCACAAACUCUUCAUUUGUUUCAUAUAGGAGAUAGACAUCAGGACUCCAUCAUGAACAUUUGGUGGGAUAGGGCAGGGGUGGGUGUCGCCAGUUAGACUUGGCCCAUGAGUCAAAGCUUUGCUAUCUUUCUCUUUAAGUUGAAACAACAUGAAAGGAAUAAUUUUAAAUGCCAAAGCUUUUAAUGUUCUGUGUUGCUAGGGAAAAACAUAAAGCAGAGCUUCUCAGAAGCCCCAGGGUGAAGACAAAAAUGGAAGUGACUAGUAGGUGCUAGAAAAAUGUCAUUCCCAGGAGGAAGUUCAGCACAUGGUUGGGGUGUGGGGUGGCCCGGGGAGCUGUUCCACCACGAGAACAGGGGAAGGACCUGCAGACCUUGCCACAGGAGCCAGCAGAGACCCAAGGCAGCACCUGCUCAUUGAUCCCACACAGGCACAUCAUCUGUACCUCUGGGAUCCCAGCCCUGAGGUCACUAAGUGCCACCCCAGCCUUUAAGGAACUCAAGAUCAGAUGCAGAAAUGAUAGCGCAGCAACACCUCAUGGGCACACUAUGGCCCUGCUUCCACUUGUGCCAUAAAAGGAUGAAGAAGAUGUUCUCAACCAGGAUCUUCUGAGGGAGAAUAUACAUUUUUAAAAAAUUGAAAAAAUUAUUUUGUUAGAAUGAUUGGGCUGGAAGGUAAGAGCCUAAGAACACGUGCACAUAAAAACAGAAAUGACAAAAUGGCACAGGGACUGGGAAAUAAGGAGACAAGGAGAGGGAGGUAUCUUUUCCCAUGUGGAAGGGAAGGAGAGUGAGGACUGGCUAGGAAAUGGUGGCCCGGGAAAUAAGUGCACCCUAGAGGCCCUGCGGGGAAGGACCAGAGGGACAGCCUGCUGGGAGAUGACCAAGGAGAAUAUGGUGACAGAACUUUCAGAAAGGACACCUUUAGGCUUUAUGUUGUGGGGCAUGCAAUGCAACCCCAGACAUCUGGCCCACUUCCUAAAACAUGAGUAAAGUCCACACUGAUCACCACUGCUUAUGUGUGAGUAGAUGGUUUUGAGGGCACUCAAGAGAGGCUGAGUCUUAUUUUAAAAAAUUAAUUUCUGCUACAUGCUGUACAUUAUUCUUUGUGCUUUCCGUGGAUUGAUGCAUUUAAUCCUCACCACAGUCCUACGAGGCUAGGCCUAUCAUUAUCCCCAUUUGCAGGUGAGGAAAGUGAGGUGCCAAGAGGGAAAUAUCCUACCCAAGGCUCACAGUGAGUGGAUGGCAGAGCUGUGAUUUCCAACCUGGGCAAAAAGGAUCCCUGCCCCAGGCUGCUCACAUUAGAGGGCCUGAUACUGUCCCCCUCUGGACAUGCCUCUUUCCAGGCAGCAAGGGCCAAUGGAUGUGCCCACCUGCAUCCAAUUUCCUCCGCCCUAACUGGGUACUCGGUACCCCAGAAUUCUCUACCCAGAUGGAUCUGUCAG
rnacentral:lncRNA from 10 species